rnacentral:rRNA from 1 species
UACGUAGGGCGCGAGCGUUGUCCGGAAUUAUUGGGCGUAAAGAGCUUGUAGGCGGUUUGUCGCGUCUGCUGUGAAAAUCCGGGGCUCAACCCCGGACUUGCAGUGGGUACGGGCAGACUAGAGUGUGGUAGGGGGAGACUGGAAUUCCUGGUGUAGCGGUGAAAUGCGCAGAUAUCAGGAGGAACACCGAUGGCGAAGGCAGGUCUCUGGGCCACUACUGACGCUGAGAAGCGAAAGCAUGGGGAGCGAACAGG